GACGAACGCUGGCGGCGUGCUUAACACAUGCAAGUCGAACGGAAAGGCCUGCUUUCCCUUGUGGAUUGCGGGUACUCGAGUGGCGAACGGGUGAGUAACACGUGAGUGAUCUGCCCCCAACUUGGGUAUAAGCCUGGGAAACUGGGUCUAAUUCCCGAUAGGACUGCAGGGUGGUGCCUGUGGUGGAAAACGAUUUUCUAGUGGUUGGGGAUGAGCUCGCGGCCUAUCAGCUUGUUGGUGGGGUAAUGGCCUACCAAGGCGGCGACGGGUAGCCGGCCUGGGAGGGUGUACGGCCACAUGGGGACUGAGAUACGGCCCAGACUCCUACGGGAGGCAGCAGUGGGGAAGAUUGCACGAUGGGCGGAAGCCUGAUGCAGCGACGCCGCGUGGGGGAUGACGGCCUUCGGGUUGUAAACUCCUUUCGACCGCGAGGAAGCCACCUGGUUGGAAGGGUGGUGACGGUAGUGGUAGAAGAAGCACCGGCUAACUACGUG
rnacentral:rRNA from 1 species